rnacentral:rRNA from 1 species
UACGUAGGGUGCAAGCGUUAAUCGGAAUUACUGGGCGUAAAGCGUGCGCAGGCGGUUUUGUAAGUCUGAUGUGAAAUCCCCGGGCUCAACCUGGGAAUUGCGUUGGAGACUGCAAGGCUUGAAUCUGGCAGAGGGGGGUAGAAUUCCACGUGUAGCAGUGAAAUGCGUAGAGAUGUGGAGGAACACCGAUGGCGAAGGCAGCCCCCUGGGUCAAGAUUGACGCUCAUGCACGAAAGCGUGGGGAGCGAACAGG